GCAGAGCUAUGGCCUUGAGGCUGCUGAGACUUGUCCCAGCGUCGGCGUCUGCGUGCAGCCUCACGGCCAGAGCCCAGCGCAGGGAACAGAUUCACACCAGUGUGCAGUGCCAGCUGAAGUAUGGGCAUUUGGCCUACGUUCUUGUUGAUAAGGCAUCCAAAAGAAUGAAUGACUACAGCCGAGAAAUAAGGGUAGACAGGAACCUAUGGGAAAAGCAAGCUCUGGGAAAAGCAAGCUCGCAAAAGAGAUCGCAGAGAGCCUAGGCAUGAAGCACUUUCCGGAAGCAGGGAUACAGUACUCGAGCAGCACCACAGGUAACAGAAGGCCCCUGAACAUGGAAUUCAGUGGCAGCUGUAGCUUAGAGAAAUUUUAUGAUGACCCGAAAAGCAACGACGGCAACAGCUACUGCCUGCAGUCCUGGCUGUACGCCAGCCGCCUCCUGGGGUACGCAGACGCCCUGGAGCACCUGUUGAGCACAGGACAAGGUGUGGUCUUGGAGCGUUCCAUCUUCAGUGACUUUGCUUUCCUGGAGGCAAUGUACAACCAGAGCUUCAUCCGAAAGGAGUGUGUGGACCACCACAAGGAAGUGAAGCGGCUCGCUCUCCCCCAGCACCUGCCACCCCACGUAGUCAUCUGUGUCGAUGUGCCUGUGCCAGGCAUACAGAGCCGGAUCCAGAAGAAAGGAGAUGCACAUGAAAUGAUGAUCAUCUCUGCCUAUCUCCAGGACAUUGAGAAUGCCGACAAGCACAUCUUCCUUCCAGAGAUGAGUGAGCACUGUGAAGUUUUGGUGUACAGUACCUGGGAAUCUGAAAGCUCAAUCAAGGUGGUAGAGGACAUUGAAUACCUUAAGUACAACAAAGGGCCUUGGCUUAAACAGAGUGACAUUUCCUUUCACUGCCUGUGCUUGCGGGUUCAGGAUGAGAUAGAAGUGCUGGAUUUCACUACCGUUCCUAUCGAUCUCCUAGAAAUCACGAUUGGAGCUCACCAGGGUACCCGAAUCCAAAACAGCUUCAGAGCACUGCCAGGCCGGAAGUACAAACCUGGGUACAAGGCCGAGUGGGUGACAAGUGGAUCUGGUUGAAGUGAAUGGUCCCUCUGCCU